GUAUACGUCUAUCAAACAACACUGAGCGAACGACGACUAAUUCUGUACUGCAAAUAAUUUUAAAUACAUUUGACUACACUAAGUAUCAACUCGUCUCAUCACUAUAUACACGUUUAAUAGUCCUCCACACUUCUAUUUAUAUUAGAAGUUGCAUUAGAAGAAGAUAGCACGAACAGUACUGAUUGAAAAAUAAUUUUGAAAAAAAUGUGUAUGGUUCAGCAUAGUAUUCGUAUAAUACACGGACUUCCACUGUACUUUAAUCCAAGAGACGAAUAAUUAAUAAAUAAUAUAAAUUAGUAUGGGAGAAUAAAAAAAGAGUAGAGAACUACACUAAGUAUCAACUCGUUUCAUUACUAUAUACACGUUUAAUCGUCCUCCAUACUUCUAUUUAUAUUAGAAUUACAUUAGAAGAAGAUAGCACGAACAGUACUUAAUGAAAAAUAAUUUUGAAAAAAAUAUGUAUGGUUCGACAUAAUAUUCGUAUAAUUCGUAUAAUACAGGGUCUUCCACUGUACUUUAAUCCAAGAGACGAAUAAUAUAAAUUAGUAUGGGAGGAUAAGAAAAGAGUAGAGAACUACACUAAGUAUCAACUCGUCUCAUCACUGUAUACAUCGACACGUUCAAUCGUCUUCUACAUAU